rnacentral:tRNA from 1 species
GCCUCUAUAGCUCAGUGGUAGAGCGUCUCGCUAUUAAUGAGAAGGUCCAUAGUUCAAUUCUAUGUUGAGGCC